GCCACUAGAACACAGCAAAACUUGAGCGCACAUGUGCAGCGGGCCUCAGUGAAGCUGACCUCCAGUAAAAGCAAAUAGGCUGUGCGGUUAGUUUCUGAGAUAUUACACUUUAUUUUAUAGGUUAUUCUUAACCCUAACCCAGACUGCACCAAAACAGUUCAAAGUAGUCUACUUUUUAGUGCUAUGUUUGUGCUGGUUUGUGCUGUUGAAAUAUAAUUUGUGUUGCUAUGGUUUCUGAGAUAUAACAAGUUUUAUUGUUGUGUGAUGCUCCAAAACAUUCCAAAAUAGUCUACAUUUUAGUUCUUCGUUUGUGCAGUUAAAAUUGGGGCGACAGUGGCACAAACCUAUUUGCUUUUACUUUUCAAGUGGGGGAGAUCAGCUUCACUGAGCUCCGAUGCUGUGAAGGCAGGGAGAGGGGUGGCAUGCACAAAAUGCCUGUGAGACAAAUUACAUUAACUGAUAAGACCUGUAAAUAUUGGUGGGGACAAAUCUGUAAGAGGAGAAAGGAAAAUCAAACAAAGCUUCAGAAAGGUGAGGACAUGAGUGAAAACAGGACAGGCACCAAGGUUUGGACAAAUUUUAACUACAGUGACAAUUAAAAGACAGAGUGUAGAUUGUGCAAAGGGUAAAUAUAUCCAAAAGGCUAUAAUAGUUCAAAACUAAUACAAAUUUUACUUGCAGAGUUUGUUUUUGUCAUUUAAAAUGUGUUUAUGUAGCUCUCUGCUUCAUGUUGAAUAAAAUAAGUUAUUUAAACAAUAAACACUUGAUAAAAUGUAUAUUGUAGAUUAGUAAUUCAGUUUACAUACAGUUUUAUAUAAUUUCUGGUGAUAAAUUCAUUUAGGAAACGAAAAAUAUGAGGAGCUGUUUAAGAGCCGAAAGAGCCGGUUCAUUUUAGUGAGCCGAGCUGUAAGACCCUAACCUAGCAGCAGCCAGAUCUCUAUGUGUAGCCUCGUGUAGAGUCUACACAUUUAGAUCUAGACUCUCUGCAGCAGAAACCGGCUGAAAGAGGGAGGGCUGUGUGGUAGAAUAUUUUGAACUGACUGAAGGACGCGCAAGGUAGUGCCCGGCUGGCACUAGCUGGCUGCUGCCAGGAUAGGGCUCUUGAUACGAUCGUCAAAACGAACUCCCACCCUACAGCAAAGUGCUGACACACAAUUGGAUUGACCCAUUUUGGGCCGGAUGCCGGACGCUUUUAACUAGUGAUGGGAACCCUGGAUCUUUUAAGAGAACCAGUUCUUACGGCCAGCUGUAACACACCAAACAUGGCUUUUUUGCUAGAUUGGUUAUCUACACUGAACAAAAAUAUAAACGCAACACUUUUGUCUUUGCUCCCAUUUUUCAUGAGCUGAACUCAAACAGUUGAAACUUUUUCUACAUACACCAAACACCCAUGACCCUCAAAUAUUAUUCUGAAAUCUGUCUACAUGUGUGUUCUCGAGCACUUUUUCUUUACCAAGAUAAUCCAUCCCACCUCAAAGGUGUGGCAAAUCAAGGGGCUGAUUAGACAGCUUGAAUAAUGUAAAGGAGUGCCUUAGACUGCCCUUCAUAUUUCAAACUUUGCUAACUUUAUUAAUAACUCUGCUAAAUAGUCAUAGCCAUAGUUCAAAUUAUUGAUAAACUUGUGUUAAAUCAUCUAAUCUGACAUCUUUCCAGACAUGCAGAGCCAAUGCCCCUCAGGAGCUGGGAUUCCAGAGGAUUUCAAUGAGAAAGAGAAAACAGCAUCUUUCAAAAGAUAAAAGCUGAGAAACAAAAGCAAUGGGCUCGACCAAAGUUCUGAAGAUGAACCCACCUUGUGCACCCAAAGGCCUACAGGGAAAUCAAAGAAGAAGCAGACCAACAAAGGAACACCCACCCAUUCCCCUUCCCUGCUCACUGUCCAUGGUUUUACUCAAGGUUUGGUUCAGAUUUUCAAAUAUUUAAGUAACUGAAAAUGGCUAACAUGCAAUUCAUUCUCCCCAUAAAAGACUGAAAGAGAUUACCUUAAAAAAAGAAACUGAGGUUUGACAUUUUACAACAAGUAUGAACAACUUAACUACUUAGGGGCAGCAGUAGCUCAGGAGGUAGAGAGGAUUGUCCAGAAACCGGAAGGUUGCGGGUUUGAUCCCAGCUCCAACCAGAGAGUGCUGCUGUCGUGGCCUGCUGAACACUGGCGCCACCGGUCCCUCUGACCACCACCAGCAGGCAAAGCGAGUUAAGUGCCUUGCCCAAGGAAACAACAGCAGCAGAUUGUGUUGUGAAGCGCCUUGGGGGCCUUCGAAGGCGCUAUACCUAUACAGGCCAUUUAUUCCCAUUAAUUUCACAUUGUUGUCCUUAUUAUAAAUACAGAAAUGUAUUUGGGAUGUUUGAGUUCACAUAAACCUUUAUAGAAAGAUGGAAGUUCAUCAAAUCAUUACCAUAUUAACAUUUUAGGCACAAAGAUACUUGACUUCAGUUUUCCUUCAGUUAGAUGCUAAACUUUUUCUGUUUAUCAACAACAAUUAUAGAUCUGUUGAUACAUUUCCUAGCUACAGUUCAGAGUCUAAAAAAAACUUGUAUUAAGCCAUAUAAUCUAAAAUGUUUUUGUAGAUCAUCCAGAUAUGAUGAGCCAAGAACCUUCAGGAGCUGAGUGGUCUAAGGAGUCAAAUGGAAAGGACAAAACAGACAUGGAUCAACAGGAUUUAACCUCUAAGAAAUUCAACCGAAAGAUUUGGAGCAAAUCUGGGAAAGAAUCGGUUUGGCAACAGCUUGGUCGGUACAUCACUCUUGAAAGAGUUCCUGGUAAAAUGCUGUGUGUGAAAGCACUCAGUACAGAGACAGCACUUUAGAACAGAAGUUGGAAAGAUGUAAAAAACUGCAUCUAUAACCACAUCCCUGAGCAAAAAAGAAAAAGGCUGUAGUUUUUGCGUUAAAAGCAGCAGGAGCUGAGUUAAUGCAUGUAAUGUUACAAGCAGAGCAUUUAAUGAUACCUAGUUAUUUUUAUUUUAUGAGACAUUGGAAAUAUGUUAAAAACUAUAAUUAUAACAGCAUUGCAGAUCAAAAAUGUUACAAGCAGAGCAUUUUAUGGUACCUAAAGAUAUUUAAAUUUUAUUACAUGUUGGAAAGAUGUUAAAAACUAUAAGUAGAACAGCAUCACAGUAGCAUUGCAGGGAUUAAUCGUUUUGACUAUUAACCCUGGUUAACCCCAAGUAAAUAGAUCUUCAACACCAUCAAACUAAAACAAAAAGACAAUAGCGUAACUCGUAAGUACAAAAACAAAACUGAAACUGAACACGCGCCCGCAGCAGAAGCAUGAUCAGUGAAAACAACCAUCGGGACUCCUCCAUUUCUACCUCGGAAGAGGUUGAAUUCUCCUGUGUGGGAAUAGUUUAGAUAUAUUAGAUAUCAUCCCACACAGGAGACUUCAACCGCUUCUUAGGUGGAAAUGGAGGAGUCCCGAAGGUUGUUGUCACUGGUUCUGCUUCUGCUGCGUGAGCACGUUCAGUUUCACUUUUGUCUUUGUCCAUGAGGGUCAUGCCAUAGUCCUUUUUUUAUUGUUGGUGUGGUAGACAUCUUUAAGGGGGGUUAUCAGGGGUUAAUAGUCAAACUGGUUAAUCUCUGCAAGCCUACAUCACAGCUCAAAAAAGAAAAAAAACUGUAGUUGAUAUGUUUUAUUUUAAAAGCAGCAGAAGCUGAGUUAAUGCAUGCAAUGUUAAAUGCAGAGCAUUUAAUGGUACCUAAAGUUGUAUUAAUUUAUUAGAAGUUAGAAAUAUGUCAGAACUACUAGUAGAGCAGCAUCACAGCUCAAAAAGAAAAUAAAAACAAUAUUUGAAAAUUUUCUUUUUCAAAGCAGAAGGAUCUGAGUUCAUUUAUGUAAUUUUAUGCACCGUGUUUACUUUAUUUGGUAUCUAAAAUUUAUAUUUUAUCAGCAGAUGAAUUAGAAAGAUUUUAAAAACUGCAUGUAUAACUGCAUUUUAGCUCAAAAAAGAAAAAAGUAAACAUAUUCAAUUUUAAAAGAAACAGGAGCUGAGUU